UUCCUGGUGGUCUAGUGGCAAAGACUCUACGCUCCCAGUGCAGGGACCUGGGUUCAAUCCCUGGUUGGGGAA
rnacentral:tRNA from 1 species